AUUGAACGCUGGCGGCAUGCCUUACACAUGCAAGUCGAACGGCAGCACGGGUGCUUGCACCUGGUGGCGAGUGGCGAACGGGUGAGUAAUACAUCGGAACAUGUCCUGUAGUGGGGGGUAGCCCGGCGAAAGCCGGAUUAAUACCGCAUACGAUCUACGGAUGAAAGCGGGGGACCUUCGGGCCUCGCGCUAUAGGGUUGGCCGAUGGCUGAUUAGCUAGUUGGUGGGGUAAAGGCCAACCAAGGCGACGAUCAGUAGCUGGUCUGAGAGGACGACCAGCCACACUGGAACUGAGACACGGCCCAGACUCCUACGGGAGGCAGCAGUGGGGAAUUUUGGACAAUGGGCGAAAGCCUGAUCCAGCAAUGCCGCGUGUGUGAAGAAGGCCUUCGGGUUGUAAAGCACUUUUGUCCGGAAAGAAAUCCUUGGCCCUAAUACGGUCGGGGGAUGACGGUACCGGAAGAAUAAGCACCGGCUAACUACGUG
rnacentral:rRNA from 1 species